rnacentral:rRNA from 1 species
GACGAACGCUGGCGGCGUGCCUAAUACAUGCAAGUUGAGCGAUGAAGAUUGGUGCUUGCACCAAUUUGAAGAGCAGCGAACGGGUGAGUAACGCGUGGGGAAUCUGCCUUUGAGCGGGGGACAACAUUUGGAAACGAAUGCUAAUACCGCAUAACAACUUUAAACAUAAGUUUUAAGUUUGAAAGAUGCAAUUGCAUCACUCAAAGAUGAUCCCGCGUUGUAUUAGCUAGUUGGUGAGGUAAAGGCUCACCAAGGCGAUGAUACAUAGCCGACCUGAGAGGGUGAUCGGCCACAUUGGGACUGAGACACGGCCCAAACUCCUACGGGAGGCAGCAGUAGGGAAUCUUCGGCAAUGGACGAAAGUCUGGCCGAGCAACGCCGCGGGAGUGAAGAAGGGUUUCGGAUCGUAAAACUCUGUUGGUAGAGAAGAACGUUGGUGAGAGUGGAAAGCUCAUCAAGUGACGGUAACUACCCAGAAAGGGACGGCUAACUACGUG